CCUAUGAAGAUAAGAUGACCUUGGAUUUCAAUAGGCGACGAACACAAAGAGACGACGUGACAUGUUAGAAUGUGAGGUAUAGGAUCUUUCAUAAUAACGAGCCACGUAACACUCUCAAAGCAUCUUUCCCGCUGACUCAGCUUAAGUCAUUACAACUUGAUGCUCCGAUGAGAAGCCGCUGCUUCUUGGGUUUGGGCUCUUGAAAAUGUCCCAAUCACAAGAACAAGUCAUGCCUGUAUACACGAGUGGGAAAAGCAUUAGCAUUCAAAGGAGACAACUGCAAGUACAUCAACUACCUGCAAUUUGCAUCUCCUUUGCCGUUAUCCCCUUUGAAUGCUGAGAUAUCAAGGCAAAUUUGCAGUGGGUAAGUUAGAAUCUAUGUUUUAAAGAAUUACUAACAACAUAUACAUGAUGAGUUUGAUGUAUGUGUCUUCUUCAGGCUUGCUGGGUUCAGUAGCAAACAUCAUUUUCCUAAUAUACAUACUCACUAUUAAUUGUUGUCACUCAUUCAUUCGCAUCAGCCUCAGCACCACACUUCCAAAUUAACUAAAUCUUUUCGAUUUAACUCUUUUAUUUUAUCUUAAGCAGUGAUGCCAGAAUUCCGUAGCACUUCUGUUGUUGUAUGUCUUUGUUUUCUUCCCCCUUUCGUUUAUAUAUGGAUUGACAACUGCAUUUCAUUGAUCAUGAUUUGGCUUUAUGUUAAUUGAAUCAAUAGAUUGCCUCCG